GUACUUGUAGCUCAGUUGGUAGAGCAUCGGCUCGAUAAGCCGAAGGUUGAAAGUUCAAAUCUUUCCAAGUACA
rnacentral:tRNA from 1 species